CCAAGUGUGUCACGAUCAUCUUAC
rnacentral:siRNA from 1 species